UGGGGAAUAUUGCACAAUGGGCGAAAGCCUGAUGCAGCAACGCCGCGUGAGUGAUGAAGGUCUUCGGAUUGUAAAGCUCUGUCUUUUGGGACGAUAAUGACGGUACCAAAGGAGGAAGCCACGGCUAACUACGUGCCAGCAGCCGCGGUAAUACGUAGGUGGCGAGCGUUGUCCGGAUUUACUGGGCGUAAAGGGUGCGUAGGCGGAUGUUUAAGUGAGAUGUGAAAUACCCGGGCUUAACUUGGGUGCUGCAUUUCAAACUGGAUAUCUAGAGUGCAGGAGAGGAGAAUGGAAUUCCUAGUGUAGCGGUGAAAUGCGUAGAGAUUAGGAAGAACACCAGUGGCGAAGGCGAUUCUCUGGACUGUAACUGACGCUGAGACACGAAAGCGUGGGUAGCAAACAGGAUUAGAUACCCUGGUAGUCCACG
rnacentral:rRNA from 1 species